rnacentral:misc_RNA from 1 species
UCCGGUUUGUCACCGGCAGUCUCCCUAGAGUUCUCAGCCGAACUGCUAGCAACUAGGGAUAGGGGUUGCGCUCGUUACGGGACUUAACCCAACAUCUCACGACACGAGCUGACGACAGCCAUGCAGCACCUGUGUAGGCUCCCCUUGCGAGGUCGUCACCCUUUCAGGUUUCUACCACCUACAUGUCAAGGCCAGGUAAGGUUCUUCGCGUUGCAUCGAAUUAAGCCACAUACUCCACCGCUUGUGCAGGCCCCCGUCAAUUUCUUUGAGUUUUAAUCUUGCGACCAUACUCCCCAGGCGGCACGUUUAACGCGUUAGCUUCGCCACGAACGGGGUCGAAUCCGCUCACAGCAAACGUGCACCGUUUACAGCUAGGACUAC